rnacentral:lncRNA from 1 species
GAUAACCUAAUUCAAAGAGUACAAAUACGAGUCAUACGUAUCAACUCUAAAAUGAAACUAAUAUAUUUAUUUCACAAGAAACAAUUAUGUGAAAUCAUAAUAGAAUUCGAAAUAAGGAAACAAACAAACAAAUCAAAUUUAACAAAGGUAUCGCUGAAAGAGUACGGAAUCCGUACCUGAUACUUCCAAACCAUUUAUAGCACACUCCACAAA